rnacentral:rRNA from 1 species
GACGAACGCUGGCGGCGUGCCUAAUACAUGCAAGUCGGACGCAGUGGGGACGGGUGAGUAACACGUGGGUAACCUCCCAUCAGAGGGGAUAACACUUGGAAACAGGUGCUAAACCGAUACUGAUGGAUGGACCCGCGGUGCAUUAGCUAGUUGGUGGGGUAACGGCUCACCCAGGCCACGAUACAUAGCCACCCUGAUAGGAGGAUCGGCCACACUUGUACUGAUACACGGUCCAGACUCCUACGGGAGGCAUCAGUGGGGAAUAUUGCACAAUGGGCGCAAGCCUGAUGCAGCCAUGCCGCGUGUAUGAAGAAGGCCUUCGGGUUGUAAAGUACUUUCAGCGGGGAGGCGUUACCCGCAGAAGAAGCACCGGCUAACUCCGUGCCAGCAGCCGCGGUAAUAC